rfam:Schistosoma margrebowiei strain Zambia genome assembly, scaffold: SMRZ_contig0000784
AUUAAGCUGACGAGUCGUAAACAGGAUGAAACUGACGUCCUGAAU